ACGUAACGUGAAGUGGUUUCCAUGGUAACCACGCGCUUCGUGCCUUAAACACAGCUUUGGACUGCGCGUCCUCCUGAAUUUCCUCGCUUUUUAGUUCUGUCAUUUCAGUUUAAGGGAUCACAGCGAUGUCUCUGUCUCAGGAGUAUCAGGCAGGCAGUAGCAGCCCACAGUGCACCAACCCUGGAAACCCAGUCUUCUCCUGUCUUAUGAAUGCGGUGCUGAAAGAUGUGGAAUUGGAGGACAUUACGAAGGCCAUGAGUGUUCUGUACAGAACAACAUCCAGAGACUAUGGACUUCUACCUCCAACCUCUGAAAGUGCACCAUGCACUUACCACCCCAAAUCGCAGACAUUUUCUGAACACCUGAGCAAGGCAGGGAUGUAUCGCAACAACUCCUUUAAUACAUCCCUUGACCGAAGCCGGGUGUUUGACUGUCCCAAUCUACAGCACACUGUCUAGAUUUGUUCUUAGUAAACAUGUCCUUCCAA